UACCAGCACCCCGAGUGGUCGGGACGAUUAUUGGGCCUAAAGCAUCCGUAGCCGGUUUUACAAGUCCCCCGUUAAAUCCACCUGCUCAACAGAUGGGCUGCGGAAGAUACUAUGGAGCUAGGAGGCGGGAGAGGCAAGCGGUACUCGAUGGGUAGGGGUAAAAUCCGUUGAUCCAUUGAAGACCACCAGUGGCGAAGGCGGCUUGCCAGAACGCGCUCGACGGUGAGGGAUGAAAGCUGGGGGAGCAAACCGG
rnacentral:rRNA from 1 species